rnacentral:lncRNA from 1 species
GAGGAGGAGUGGUGAGAUACGCCUUUAGCUCAUGGAGAACGGAUUCACAUUCUUCCGUCCAGUGGAAGUCCUUUGGAUUUUUUAGGGUUCCGAAGAAGGCAUGAGAUUUGUGGGAGAGUCUGGAGAUGAACCUACUCAGGGCCGCCAUUCUUCCUGUUCGCUUUUAGACCUCCUUGACGUUCUUCGAGGAAGGGAUUGAAUGAAUGGCCCUGA